GUAACGCGUGAGUAACCUGCCUUCAAGAGGGGAGUAACAUUCUGAAAAGAAUGCUAAUACCGCAUGACAUAUCGGAACCACAUGGUUUUGAUAUCAAAGAUUUUAUCGCUUGAAGAUGGACUCGCGUCCGAUUAGUUAGUUGGUGAGGUAACGGCUCACCAAGACCGCGAUCGGUAGCCGGACUGAGAGGUUGAACGGCCACAUUGGGACUGAGACACGGCCCAGACUCCUACGGGAGGCAGCAUG
rnacentral:rRNA from 1 species